CCCUUAGAUGUUCUGGGCUGCACGCGUGCUACACUGAUUACUUCAACAAGUGUUUUAACUGGAGAGUUUGCGUAAUCCUGAAAUGUUAUCGUGAUGGGAGUAGAGUAUUGUAUUUGUUAAUCUUUAACGAGGAAUUCCUAGUAAGUGUAGGUUUAUAAGUUGUUCUGAUUACGUCCCUGCCCUUUGUACACACCGCCCGUCGCUCCUACUGAUUGAGUGUCUCGGUGAAUUCUUUGAUCUUCUGUCGAUUCAGUUCACUGAUCCGACGGUGGAAAGUUGAAUGAACUUCGUCACUUAGAGGAAGGAGAAGUCGUAACA
rnacentral:rRNA from 1 species